rnacentral:rRNA from 1 species
CCUACGGGUGGCUGCAGUGAGGAAUAUUGGUCAAUGGGCGAGAGCCUGAACCAGCCAAGUCGCGUGAAGGAUGACGGCCCUACGGGUUGUAAACCUCUUUUGUCGGGGAGCAAAAGACGCCACGCGUGGCGUUCCGAGAGUACCCGAAGAAAAAGCAUCGGCUAACUCCGUGCCAGCAGCCGCGGUAAUACGGGGGAUGCGAGGGUUAUCCGGAUUUAUGGGGUUAAAGGGGUGCGCAGGCGGAAGAUCAAGGCAGCGGUAAAAUUGAGGGGCUCAACCUCUUCGAGCCGUUGAAACUGGUUUUCUUGAGUGAGCGAGAAGUAUGCGGAAUGCGUGGUGUAGCGGUGAAAUGCAUAGAUAUCACGCAGAACUCCGAUUGCGAAGGCAGCAUACCGGCGCUCAACUGACGCUCAUGCACGAAAGUGUGGGUAUCGAACAGGAUUAGAUACCCCAGUAGUC